AGAAUCGGGCUCCGAGUGACAUAUGCUAUGUAAGAUGAGGGCUACACCGCACCUUUCUCCUGGAGGUCUGUGAGGUUUUGAUGCCCAGCUUUCCGCCUGCAGAUUCAUGCCCACCUAUUACCUGCGGGCAGAGAAUGACUUCUGCCAGAGUGAUCGAUUGUUGGGUCUGUGCUGAUUUACGGGAGGUUUUCAACAGCACUUCAAGAGGGAGAGCAGAUUUUUUAGUACUGAUAUUAGGCAGGCAAUCAAGUGUUAAUUCAUUUCAGUAUUUAAAGAUUUAAACUCUUGCAGUCUCUGCUGACACCAUGGUGCUGUAAGUAUUUUAUAGUUGACUGACAAAAGAGUAAGCAGUCUGUAAUAACUGUAACAUGCAUGUUACCAUGAACAUGCAAUAUUGAUGCUGGUGUUCUUGGGGAACCUCAGGGACAGCUGGACUGCUUUGUGCUGUGCUAGAGGCAGUGUGAAGAGCCCAUAAAAUCCACGUCAGUCUUUCUUGCCCACGGUAACACUGUCGUGCAUAGCACCCAGGGUCAUUUUCCCAGCCUACCUCCUUCAGCUUACUUUUUACAGCCUGUUUCUGGAGAAGAUGCAUGCGUGUACAUAGCGGGAGUUGGCAUGUGCUGCUGGGUCCGGACCCUGGUGCCUGGGUCCCACAGCACUCGUUGGCACGCUGGCGGGCUGGGACCCUAAUUACAGCAGGUACCUCUGACACGGUGUGGCUGCAUCUCCAGCUGCCGCCAUCCUCUCUUCACAUGGAUGUUGCUGCCCUUGUGAAGCCACUGUGCAGUGCUGCCGUGAGAAUGCGGACAGAAUGUUUGUGUCAUUAGCAGGCAGGUGAAACCUACGGUACCCGGAGCUGGUUUUGCUUACUUACAACAUUCCAGAGCUUUUUGGGUUUUCCCUGCUGGUGAAAGAUUCUUGUCUUGUUGGAAAAAGUUCCAAAAAACUCCUUCCAGCUGCUUUUUAAUAAAUGCACAUGUUCUUUCUGUUGUUGUUCUCAAGAGCUUCAAAUGUGCUUUUAAAGACAAUGUUGCAACAAAGCAUUGACUAUAAAAACUUUCUUGCUGACAGAUCUUUGCAAAGGGUUCUCUCUUUGCUUGAUGAUUACGCUGUAAGAGAAGAGCAUUGCGCAUGCAGAUCUAUACCCACGUGCCCAUACUAUAAUCAAUCAAAAGUGGCAUCAUUAAGCUCAGAUCUCAGUGGAACACUGCAAAUUGUGGAAUAUACCGUGUGGGCACGUAGAGCGUGUUGUGCCAAAGGUCCAGACACCAGCACACAUGCUAGGAAUAAAGGAGCCUGAGAAGAGUAAUAACCCGAUGUCAGAUCUUGUUCAGGGACUGCGCCUAUGUCAUCUAAAAUUUCUAGCAUUGGGAGUUUCUUCUCUCGUCUCCGAUUGCCAUCUUCCCCCCCCGGAACUCAACACUGCUCUGUCUUGGGUUUCACACUCCAAGUUGGUGUCUACUUGGCGAAUUAGUGAUGAUGUUGUUUUUCAUGGACUGGACACUGGAGGGUGCUAAUGCAAUGGGAGCUGAAAUUGUUCUAGCAAAUUAAAGGGUUCCCCUUUGUUAGUUGUGAAAUAGUUUUAUUCUUUGUUGCAACCUUUAAAUGGAAAGACAUGAAUCGUGGUCCUUAGCAGUUGCUGAUUCUGCUCGGCAUGUGUAGAGCUGUAACCAAGAAUAUCAAUAAAGUGUUAAGUCUGUGA